AAGAGCAAGAAAUACGUUUCUUCAAAACAGAGGAACAAAGGAGAAAAGCAAUCAAGAUCUGCUGGUGGAGAAAUCGGUGGAAAUCAAAAAUUCAGAUCUGGGUUGUUCAGUUCUUCAAAUCAUUCUUCUAAAAGCCUCUCCCUCUGAUCUCUUCUUCAAAUCAUUCUUCUAAAAUCCACUUUUCAAAGCAAUUUGGUUUAUCAAUGGUGUUCAAGCAAUCGGGCUCAUCAAUGGACGGAUUUGGGUUGUGGUAAAUAAGAAGAUAAAGUAGAUUUGGAUUUCGCCAACAAUUCCAACUGCGGAUCUAGGUUGAUUUGAUUUUGAAUUAUUUUAAAUUGUAGAUCUGGGUUGCGGUGAAGAAGAAGAAGAUGUAGUUUCAGAUUUUUGAUUACUAUUUUAAAUUUUGGAUCUGGGUUGAUUUGAUUUUUGAUAUAUAUUUCGACUAGUUCUAACUUUUGAUUACUAUGUUGAAAUAUAUUUGGAUUUGUUGUGAAG
rnacentral:lncRNA from 1 species